GUGCCAGCAGCCGCGGUAAUACGUAGGGCGCAAGCGUUGUCCGGAAUUAUUGGGCGUAAAGAGCGUGUAGGCGGCUUCACAGGUCCGCUGUGAAAACUCGAGGCUCAACCUCGAUCUGUCGGUGGAAACCGUGAAGCUAGAGUCCGGAAGAGGAGAGUGGAAUUCCUGGUGUAGCGGUGAAAUGCGCAGAUAUCAGGAAGAACACCCGUGGCGAAGGCGGCUCUCUGGGCCAUUACUGACGCUGAGGAGCGAAAGCGUGGGGAGCAAACAGGAUUAGAUACCCUUGUAGUCC
rnacentral:rRNA from 1 species